UACACCAAGGUCCUGUGGCAGGCCAUUCCCUGACAUACCCUCCAUGGCUCCUGGCAG
rnacentral:miRNA from 1 species